GUGCCAGCAGCCGCGGUAAUACGGAGGGUGCAAGCGUUAUCCGGAUUCACUGGGUUUAAAGGGUGCGUAGGUGGGCAGUUAAGUCAGUGGUGAAAUCUCCGGGCUCAACCCGGAAACUGCCAUUGAUACUAUCUGUCUUGAAUAUCGUGGAGGUAAGCGGAAUAUGUCAUGUAGCGGUGAAAUGCUUAGAUAUGACAUAGAACACCAAUUGCGAAGGCAGCUUACUACCCGAAUAUUGACACUGAGGCACGAAAGCGUGGGGAUCAAACAGGAUUAGAUACCCUGGUAGUCC
rnacentral:rRNA from 1 species